AGCGAGGAUACCAUGAAACAAGAUUAGAAAAAUAAAUCAUAUUUACUGAUAAUUUUUAAAUAAGAGGUAAAUGCCAUUUAUAUAAAAUCUUGAGGUCAUAGUAACAGAGGGUUUUUCUUGGAGUUGAAAAGAGUGAGGAAUCUGGGAAGAUGUUGAAGGAAAAAGGACCUAAGCACUCUAUUCGAUAACACAGUGACUACCAUUCAUAGUGUGUCGUCUUCUUUAAAAUCGUCAAGGGCUAGGAAGAUGACUCAGUGGAUAUACUUGCUGAAUGAAGAGCUGAGGUCACAUCUCCAGAAUCCACAUAAACCUGUGUUCAGUUAUUCCUGGGUUGACACUCCUGUCGUUCUUAGGGUGAGAGGCUGUGUUGCUAAUAGAGAGGAAGGAACACCCAAGGUUGCCCUCUGACCUCCACACUCACCCAUGGAAGCAUGGGUCCAUAUGCACACACAUACAGUGUGUUCACACGUGCAUGUAGACACAGAAAUAAUCAUUAGUGAGAGGACGUUUUGGUAAUUUAUUUAAAAGAUUUAUUUAUUUUAUGUAUAUGAGUACACUGUAGCUGUCUUCACACACACCAGAAGAGGACAUCGGAUCCCAUUACAGAUGGUUUGUGAGCCAAAAAUUCAUAAAUAAAAGUUAAUUUUAGAAAUUUUAAUUUUUACUUUAAGUACAUCGAGUGUUUUAAUAAUAAGUUUGCUCUCUUGUGCAUGCAGUUCCCUCUGAGGCCUGAAGAGGGCGUUGUAUUCCCUGGGAUUGGAGUCACAUAGUCAGUUAUGAUAACAGCAUGUGAGUGCUAGGAAUUGAACCCAGGUUCCUCUGGUAGAGCAGCCACUACCCUUAACCUCUGAACCAUUAGUCCAGCCAAAAUUAAAAUUCUUAAAAACUGAAGGUGGUACAAUUUACCUACUUCUGGUUGGUAACACUCAUCUCCCUUAUUCUGGAGUAUAGAUUAUUUAUAAAAUGGCAGCUGUAUUUUUUUUUUUUUUUACGGAUUCUCUACAUGAAAUACAGUAUCCUGUAUUGGACACUAGGAUAGAGACAGAUGUGGUAGUGCACACACUGGAAAUAUCCAGCUAAGGAAGCGGAAGCACAAAGAUCAAAAGUCCAGUGCUAACCCAGGAGAUAGCAAGUUCAUGGCUAGCCUGAGCUUUGUAAAGUGAGGCACUUGGCUCAGUGUUAAUGUGUAGAAGAGCCCAGACCGUGCCCCUGGUGUGAAUAUAAAAAGGCUACCAGUGGGAGAGUGCUGUAAUCUGGACACACACUGUUGUAAGUUAGUUAGCAAUCAUCCAUUGUGCUGAGGUGUCCAUUUUUGGCAAAUGUAUUAUGAACACAGACGUUAAUGUUAGCAGACACAGGGUAAUGUUUCAUAACUGCUUUACAAAUCUAAAGUUUUCCAGGUGUGAGGUGUAUUUUUUUCAGAAAGGAAAAGGUCUGAAAAGAGACGGCUCAGUGUCAAGAAUGUGUGUUGCUCUUGCAUGAGACCCCAGUUCCAGUCAGGCACCCACAGCAGACAGCUCACGGCUGCCUUUGACUCCAUCCAGAGGGUCUGACACCCACUGCUGGUCUCCCUCACAUGCAUAAUUAAAAACACAGUCAUUAAAAACCAUUCCAUAGCUCAACAAUAGCUCACCUAGAACUGAUCUUACCAAACCGAGUUGACAUUUCCAACCAAAACAACAACAAAGCUUUUCUCAUGGCUGCACAAAUUCUUUUCCUGACUAUAAAAGCAGUAUUAAUCUAUUUUAGAAAGUCCAUUAGGCCUUAUUCUACCAAUUCUGUAAAGUAUGUAUUUAGAAAGUAUUUUAAAGAAGAGGGGGGACCUCGGUUAUAAUGACUGUUUACCUAGGCAUCCCUGGGAUGUUGUAGUUGGACAGGGGAAAUUUCUAACUGUUAAACGAAUCCCUCCUGUGUAGCUGGUUGUGUAUUUACAUCCUCCAACUCGGACUUAUUAAAGGUGAAUUCUGAGGCCCACUCCCGCACACUGCCACUUCCUUUACUUUAGGCCGUAUCAGUAGACUUUUGAGAUGAACACUCAUAUAGGCAACACAAGGGAAUCAUGGUCCUGUAUUAGCGUUCUGACGUCAUCUAGUAAGAUUGUGGCUGGAGAGACACAAUGCAUUGCAGCCAGCAAUACCGUGAAUUGUAACUCUCAACAGUAAGGUGGGCUCUGGCUCCUAAACAACACAAAGCAAAGCAAGAUUUCUUUAAGUGCCAAUUUAGAAUGGCUGAGACCAAAGGUUGAUGAGCAUGCAAUAUAGUCGAAGUACAUCUGUCGUUUUCUCCAGGUGGGAUUGUAAAAUGUUAGCUAUUUUGUAUGUUUCACAAUUCCUUUACAAGUUAAACAUGUGCCUACUCUAUGAUCCAGCCCUGUGUGUUUUCCCAACAAAAGGAAAAAAAAAUGUCCAUACAGAAUUGGAUACUUAAAUGUCCCUGUCUUAUUCACAGUAGCCUAAGCUGAAUUGCCAUCAGUACUGAGUGGAUGCAGAUAAUACGAUAUAUCUGUGUGAAAGCGUAUCACUCAAUGAUGACGUGCAGAAGGGAUGAGCUGUGUGGCAUAUAAACAGCACCAGACAUAGAAAGCCGUCAAUAAUAAUAAUAAUAACAAUAAUAACAAUAAAAACCAGCUACACAUAUACCCUUACUGUGUGGCAGUCCAUUGUAGAAAAUGAAAAUCGGGGAGUCCUGGCCGCCUGGGGACAGAGCAGGCAAGGAUUGGCUGUGAGAAGGAAACCUUGGGGAUGACUGAUGGAAAUCUGUGGUUGCCAUGGUGCUGCUAUCUGUGCUAUAAUCAUUUGCUAAAAUUGUCAACUGUCAUUUGUUUGCCACCGUUCGUAUCUUUUACCCAGUGACCAACUCCGUAUGUUCCUGACACUGUAGCUCACCUAGAUGAAGUACAGGGAUUUCUGGCAAGGUGUUGUAUUGAGUGAGUUCAAGGAACCUUGCAGUAAUUUAACAAAGUUUAAGGACAAACAAAGUCUUAAGGGCAUUAACCAUCAGUCCAAGACCAUGAAAAUUUUUAUUCCCUUACAAAAUGUUUUCCUCCCAGACAGCUCUUACGUAUUACUAUGUCCUUUAAACGGAUUAAUAGCAGAAAAUUUAACAAGUAAUAGAUGUAAAAAAAAUCAUGUUUAAUAUACUUAAUUAGUCAAUUCAUGACACACAUAAAUACUAGUUCUAUUUAACUAUAUU
rnacentral:lncRNA from 1 species